rnacentral:rRNA from 1 species
GACGAACGCUGGCGGCGUGCCUAAUACAUGCAAGUUGAGCGCUGAAGGUUGGUACUUGUGCCCACUGGCUGAGCAGCGAACGGGUGAGUAACGCGUGGGGAAUCUGCCUUUGAGCGGGGGACAACAUUUGGAAACGAAUGCUAAUACCGCAUAAAAACUUUAAACACAAGUUUUAAGUUUGAAAGAUGCAAUUGCAUCACUCAAAGAUGAUCCCGCGUUGUAUUAGCUAGUUGGUGAGGUAAAGGCUCACCAAGGCGAUGAUACAUAGCCGACCUGAGAGGGUGAUCGGCCACAUUGGGACUGGGACACGGCCCAAACUCCUACGGGAGGCAGCAGUAGGGAAUCUUCGGCAAUGGACGAAAGUCUGACCGAGCACCGCCGCGUGAGUGAAGAAGGUUUUCGGAUCGUAAAACUCUGUUGGUAGAGAAGAACGUUGGUGAGAGUGGAAAGCUCAUCAAGUGACGGUAACUACACAGAAAGGGACGGCUAACUACGUG